GGCAUGUCACAAUGGUGUCCCCACAUGAGGGGAGCAGAGCCCUGGGCAGCAUUCCCGGCCUGGUUUGGAAAGCCCCAAUCCUAGAAGCCAUGAUGACUGAGCUGUGCUGGGGUGCAAGUGAGAGACUUUCACACAUCGGCACUUUGUCCAGCUGCGGGGUCACAGUCACUGCAGCCCCUUGCUAUCACCUGCACACUGCAAGAUGCCACACAAAGAGGACGCUUGAAUUCCUGCAGCAGCAUGGGAGGCCUGCAGCUUUGCAUCCCUACAUGGCCUGGUCCUAUGCAACCUUGUGCUGUGAGCAGACAGCUGAAAUGGGAUAGGCACUUUUUCCUUUUAUGUUUGAUGGUGGUGAUGCAUCUUUCUGAGGAAUCCCCAGAGGAAUGACAAAGAAGAAAGCUGAAGAUGGCCAGAGGCCCACAGGCCAGGAGAAAGAAAUUACUGCCAGUGUGUUGCUGGCUAGAACAGAAGUUGAAGAGCACAAGUCAUCUCCAUUUCUCCACAACUAUUCCCAUGGCUCAGAUAUCCCUGGUAGUAAGAAAAAACUGCUGACAGAUCAUCUCAAGGACUUGCUCUCGACUGUGCCAAGCCCCAUUGGAG